GGCGACGUUGCUACACAUACCCGAUGGUCCAGACUGACUAACUACUCUCUAACUUUUCCUACACACCACACACGCUAAACGAAUGAUGUAUAAUGUGAGCGAGGAAAGUGUAAAAAGAGGAGGCGGAGGAGUAGAAGGUUGAUGAGGAGGAGCAGGAGGAGGAGGAGGAGGUGGAGCUGGACAGAAAAGGAGUUGGAGGGAAUGCCCUGAUGACAGUUCUCCCACUUUGUUUUUCCUCCUCGAAACGGACCAAGGCCAUGAUGUUCAAUCUCCUCCAUCGACCGGUGUCAUCAAAAGGGCUGCCAAUAUCCUGUCCUUCUUAAUUCGUAAGGCGAGGCACAACCCUGGCCUGCCAACGGCGCCGAUGGAGAUGGGGAUACCGAGCCCCCAAAGCCCGUCAGACCUCCCUCUUCUUAGUGAUCCCAAUUCCCAUAAUUGCCCGGGUCUGCUUGACGAGCCAUCUAGCGCAGCUGCGCUGAACGACUUUAAACUUCACAUUUCAACUUGCCUUGGUAGCAAGCCAGUACCAUCUGGAAACAGAUAGAAAUUUGUCAAAGCACAUUUCCUUUGAUUAUAAGGUUGAGGCGCCACAUUUCUGGUUUUGGUCCAAAAAACGAACAUAAUUGCAUCGACACUUAUG
ensembl:lncRNA